rnacentral:rRNA from 1 species
GUGGGGAAUCUUAGACAAUGGGGGAAACCCUGAUCUAGCCAUGCCGCGUGAGCGAUGAAGGCCUUAGGGUUGUAAAGCUCUUUCAGCUGGGAAGAUAAUGACUGUACCAGCAGAAGAAGCCCCGGCUAACUCCGUGCCAGCAGCCGCGGUAAUACGGAGGGGGCUAGCGUUGUUCGGAAUUACUGGGCGUAAAGCGCACGUAGGCGGACCGGAAAGUCAGAGGUGAAAUCCCAGGGCUCAACCUUGGAACUGCCUUUGAAACUCCUGGUCUUGAGGUCGAGAGAGGUGAGUGGAAUUCCGAGUGUAGAGGUGAAAUUCGUAGAUAUUCGGAGGAACACCAGUGGCGAAGGCGGCUCACUGGCUCGAUACUGACGCUGAGGUGCGAAAGCGUGUGGAGCAAACAGGAUUAGAAACCCUGGUAGUCC